rnacentral:misc_RNA from 1 species
UUUUCUUUCAUUUGCUCGCUCGUGCAUGCUCCAUUACAGAGUUCUGGCGCGAACUGCGCGAACAAUGCCGCUGCUAAAUCUUUUGGCGCACGCUUUACCGAAACCGUGUGCGUUUGUUUUUCGCAACGUACGCUAAGCCAGUAAAGCGAAGGAACCCGAGAAGAGCCUCAAACCUCCUCCAUUCCCUUGAUCGUUUGAAAAACUGCUGCGCACCACGGCAUCUCUUUAUCGGAACCACGAAGUUUCGAAAGGUCAAGGUGGUAGGCCAGCCCGCGCUGUAUACCCCAAAUGCACCUACGGCUGUAGUUUCAGGUGACGUGCUUGGCUCGAAACGCUGCUGUCAUGCCAUCUGCUUCAACAUCUUGAAGAUACGGAAGGGUUCUGGAACAACUGCACUGGCACCUUGUAGAACAGGAGCAGGCAGCAGUUGAGGAGUCAUCUGAUCAGAGCAUCUCAAAUGCAUCUGGAGGACACUGAAGAUGACUGCAACUUAAUUCAUAUUGCAAGAGUGAAAUGCUGACAUUCCAACACAAGUGCAUCAUGGCAGAGCUUCGUUAGAAAAUUCUCCACCGAGAUUUUGAGGCCCAUCAAGUCUCAGCAACGUUGAAGCUUGUGUUUAAGUGCAGAUGUGGUCACACCAUCAUGAAGCAGGCAGUGGUGCAGGAAAGAAACUACCUGCCUCUUGAUAAAAAUGAGAAACAGUGCUUCUAACACUUAAGACCAAGACGCAGCAACAAAUGAAGCGGAGCCUGACCAAAAAAUUAAACUUGUGGUAGGUAGCAAAAGUCCAGAACCACCAGCUACCUUCCAGUGGCAAAAAACAUCGAUGUGAUGUCCUGCGAUUCCUGCAAACCUGAGCUGAUUUACUGUAACAGCAAACUGGACAGUCUCUUCUCAAAAACACUUUUGCCAACUAGAUGUCUUUGCUACAGCAUUGUCUCUUGUAGCCUGCUAAUACAUAUGCAGAUGACAUCACUAUUUGAUAUGUGCCUUGCAACACAUCACAUAAAUUGCCAUGUCUGGUGUGCAGUAGAUAUCUUGCAUCCAGCUUUCUACUAUGCAAUACUCCAGGCUCAUGUGCGCAAUAAUUUUUUUAAAGCUUAUGGUAAAAAUUGUGAAUAUAAAAAUGGCCUGAUGAUGGUAUGAUGAUUGAAUCGGGAAACGGCACAGCAAAUCAAUGAGAGCAUUCUCCAAAAAUGCAAAUGGACCAAAUGUUU